UGGCUAGGAUUAAAUUUGGGAGAAGCACAAGGAUUGUGCUAGUGUUUAAAUGUGGAGAUUUAGUCUCUUGAACUAAGAAGAAAUCUAUGGCUAUGAUGCAAUCUUGAGAUUUGGCAUGGAUUGAGAAGAAAAGUUCUAUAAAUAGGGAGUGGGGAAAUUGGUUCAAAGUUUUCCCCACAUGUGAAGUGAAAGAAGCAAGAAGGAAAUCAAGACUAAGAGAAGGAAGAGAAAGGCUAGCAAGGGUGAUUAAAGUCUAAGAGAGAUUCUUGGCUUGUGGAAGUGUUGAAGCUUCAAAGAAAACAAGGUGGAGAAUCAUCUAAGGGAAAUGGAGUUUUACAAGGUUGAAGGUAAUGAAGAAAUGGGAAAUGCAUGUGAAGUGUAUGUAUUUUGUGGGUUUAGUGAGAAAUGUGGUAUUUAUUUUGUUAAAUAUGUCAUUAAUGCUUAAUAUGGUUGUAAAGUGGCAAACUUGAAUGUUUUGGAAGCCAUUUGAUGUGAAAAAGCAUUCUGGAAAAUUUGAGUUUAAAAAGAAAAAAAAAUAUUUUUUUUAAAAUAAAAAAAGGUAGGUGGCAGUGUGCUGGUGCCAGGGUGCGGGCUGGGCGCGCCUGGGCACGGCCGGGUGCGGCCGCGCAUGGCAUGCGCGCGCACACGCAGCUGGCGGCCAACGCGGGCGGCCAUGCGCGCGCGCGGCCUGUGCUGGGGGGCGCGGCUGGCUGUCGCACGCCCCCCUGCUGCUGCUGUGGGAUUUUUUUUAUUUUAAUUUUAUUUUAUUUCUGUUUAUUUAAAUAUAUUAUGUUAUUUUGGAAAUUUUGAAAUAAAUUAUAUUUAAAUAAAUAAAUAAAGGAGUAUUUUAGCCUCCAAAUUAAUUUUUAAAUUAAUAUGAAUUUGAGGCAAUUGUGGAAAAAUUUCUAUAUUUUGGGAAAUUAAAAUAGUGGAGUAUUUUUCUUAAAUUUUGAAAUUGGAUGAGGAUGCCUUAAGGUUUGUAUUUCGAAAGAAUUAAUUUCCUAAUGGUUGGAAAAUUAUGGUAUUUUGAAAUAAUUAAAGGGAAAAUCAAUGGAGAUUUAAUGAGGAAAAUUUAUUUAAAUUUUUCCAAAGAAAUAUUAAUCCAAAUAUUUUCCAAAGGAAUUGGAAGUGAGAUAAAUGGGUUAAUGGUUGGGGCAAAGAAAAAGAAAAAAAUUACUCUCUUACAAUUAAGGCAUUAUGCCAUAAUUUAUGUGAAGCAUGGAGUUAGUUUAUUUCUUUCGAUCCUGAGAGGUCACCCUUAGCUCUUCAUUAAAGAGUUUGAGAAGGGGUGAUGAUUGUGAGGUUUCGGGUUUUAAUGGGUCGUUUUGAUAAUUCCUGGACCCUCGAGUGGAGCGAAGAGAGGGCAAAGCCUAGUUCCCACCUAGGUCGUUUCCCGUUGAAACGUAACCAUCUCUUCAUCUUUGCCCUAGUGUGUGAAUAGUAAGUUAGCUAUUCGUGAGUAACACCCGUAGGUGGGAGCGGGGCAUUACAAUGUUUAUUAUACUUAGGUUGUGAUCCUUAGUUUUUGAUUCAUAGAACUUAAAUUGCAUAUUUGAUAUCUAGUAUCAAACUCUUAAGGUUCUCAAUGUUUUGAAUUUAAUGAAAUAACAUUUGAAGAACUUAACAUUUAGAUGUUUGUUUCUUAGAAAGCAAAAUCAUUCAAGUGUUUGAUAAAUUUAGAAAUUGUCAAGCUAUUAAGAUUCUAUCUCAUCAAGCUAUCAAUCGAGUGAUAAUUAUUGAGCUAUAAAUCAAUUCACUCGAAUAAGAGCUUAAAUGUAUUAGAGUAUUAUGUGCAGUAUCCUAUAUCGAUAAUAGAAUGCUUCAAAGUUUAAAGAAUAGACUUCAUAUAUGCUCUGUCGCAGUCAAAUGGCAAAUGAGUUACUUGACUUAUGUGUAUUUCAAGUGAGUUUAUUUGAGAAGGUAAAUAUAGAUGAAUAACUUAUUUGGAUAGUUGUGUUUCAUUGAAAUAUGUUGUGUUUUAUGUUAAGUAGAAUGAUCUUGCUUUGAUCAAGAAAUGAAUGAUUUCAAUUGAGUAACAAGCGUUGUACUCAACUUAUUAUUCUUUGACAAUUCAUAAAAUUCCAUGUUAUUAAAGUAUCUCUUUUGUUUGCCGUAAUAGAGCUUCCUAAGUAUUCAAAUGAAUGUGAUUGGAAAUAUAGUUUUAACCAUAUUUCACAACAACACUUGAGUAAUCAUAUGUUAGUAUUUGAAUAGAUAAGUGCUUGAGGCUAAACUUGUGUAUCUUGAUAGAUAUUGAAGGGGUCAAUUGAGUAUAUGCAUGUUGUUGUCAAUCAUCCUUCUGUCAUUUUUCAUUCAAAUGAUUAUCAUUGUAUUUGAGUUGAUCAUUUAACACUCGAACAAACUAUCUGUUCAAACAAAUGAGAGGAGUGAGUUGAAUCAUCAAGCCUCUUUGCUAGUAUGAUCAAUUGAUUGACAAUUUCUUUCAAAAAAUAGAAAAAUAAUUUAUAGAAUUCGACAAAAGCUCCUAUUGUUGCCUGCAUACAAUAACAAAUUUAGUUGACUAGAAACAUAGUCGUCAAACUAUCUAAAUCUGCAAAAAUAAGAAAAAUUAGAUAAAAAAAAGGUUGAAUAUGAUGAAAGAAAUUGUAUUGAAAUUAGUAUCAGAGAUGUUAUACCUUUUUAGGAAUGAGUGUCUAAUUAUUUAUAGAAAAAUAUAGAGUGAUCUAAAGUAAAAGAGUUUUAAAAACAAAAUAAACAAGAUGACAAAGAGUCUUAAUUAGCAUGUUGAAAUGUUACUUUGAUGAGCUCAAUUUCUCUUCAUGCUAAUACCAAUUUUAAUUGGUCUUAGUUGUCUCAAGGUAGUCUAUAAAUUUAUCAUAUCUCAUUAUAUUAGGUCCAAAUGUUGACAAGAAACUAAACAUUUUGAUUGAGUGAUUGCAUCCAUGCGAUAAAUAUAACUACUGAAUUAGCAUCUUAUCAUGUACAAAACACAUAAUAGAUAACUUUAUUCAUACUCAGAUAUGGUAGUAUGAAAUCUGACUUGAACAUACAACUCAAGUCCACCCAACCUCUCCCUACUGUUUUCCCCUUUCAAAGAGGUACAAAGCCAGUUAACAUAUGGAUAGAUCACAUACAUAUAUAUUAGAUGCAAGCAUACAACUAAAUAUAUAAUCGGCAAAACUGCUCCUGUUGUAGUGAUGGUUAUCAUAAUAACCAAGACUAGGUUCUAGGGGAAUACUUCAUAGAGAGAAUGUAAUCGACGAGGGGUUUGAGCUCAGCCUCACUGAUCUUUCCAUCUCCAUCCCUAUCUACAUGACGAAAGACAUGCUAGUCUCUAUAUGUUGGGCACAUCGCGCCGAGUUCUUUGAAGACCUAACUGAUCUCGUCCCAGUCCAGCAGGUUGUCAUUGUUCUUGUCAUUUCUCUUCAAAAUAGCCCUCACAUCGGUUUCAGUGAAGGGUCGAAAGGUGUUAACGGGGGGCUUGCACACCACGAGAGGCAUACUCUACCUAUGAAAAAUGGAUCAAGAUAAAGAUUAAUAUGUCCACUGUAUGCGGGAAAGGUGAAGGAGAAGUACUAUAACCUUGGACUUGGAGGCAAUACCAACUUCAAUUUAUAUACAAUUCUUGGCUCAUUUUGGUCAAAUUAUUCCAAGCUAUCUUGAUCUUUGAAAGCUACCCAUGAUUUCAUCUUGAUGAUAAUGCAGAGCCAACCACUCUCUUCUAUCUUGGACUAAGUGCCUGCAAAACGAAAUUGGGGACUCGCUCCCUCGUGAUCACUCCAAGGCUCAAGUCAGUUCACCGGGUUAUUAAUGCUUAAUGUAUGUAAUUGAGGACUCAAAGGAAGAGAGGAAUCCCUUUAAUCGUCUUGGUUGCCCCUUUUAUCCUCUUGUUAAGAGAAGAAUUCCCUUUUCAAACCUCCGGGAUCUGGAUCCCGUCCUUUACGGAGCCAUGAUCUUGAUGGUAUGGAUACGGUAAUCAUUUUUCGAGGGGUUCAGGAUAAUCCCCACCUCCAUGAUCUUUAGAACGAUGAUUGAGGCCGAGGAAUCCGUGGAAUCUUCGUUGAGCAAAAGGCUAGUCAGUUUGUUGAGGCGUAUCUGCCACGUGUCCCUCCCGGACUUAGGUUGAAUGGCAACCUUGGAUUGGCUCCCUGGCGGACACAUGUCUUUGCUAUUAGUAGCUGUAUUCCCGGGGUAUUGGAGUAAUUAUGAAGCCGAGGGCAUUUUCCCUCAUCACAUCACGUCUUUUAUGUUUUCAGAAUCCUUAUCUGGUAGCAAAAGAUUGACUAAGAAGUUCCAGUUUAAUCAAAAACAAAUUCAUUUUCUAACAAACUUUGAUAACUAUUAUUGCAUCAUUAAUUGGUCUUUCUCUUCUCUAUACUUCUCUCCCUGGAUGUUAAUAUAUUUAUGACUCUGAUAAUUCAUAUAUUACAUAUAUUAAUUGAAAAAGGGAAAAAAAAGGAAAAGUAUGGCCAAGAAUAUUUUAGCCCCACUAUAACUUUAGUUAGAUUCCAAUCAUAAUUCAUGUAUAUUACAUAUAUUUGUUAUUUGGUUAGAAACUAUGGCCAACAUUUUGCCAACUUGUUGGAUGCCUUUUCUUUUAGUUGAUAUCAUUUUUCCAUUUGAAAUGAUUCUUU